GAUGAACGCUAGCGGCAGGCUUAAUACAUGCAAGUUGAGGGGCAGCAUGAUAUACGCGAGUAUAUUGAUGGCGACCGGCGGACGGGUGAGUAAUAGGUAGGAGACCUACCUCAUACAGGGGGAUAGCAUAGAGAAAUCUGUGGUAAUACCCCAUGAGGUUAUAUGAAUAGAGGCAUAUAAUCAAAGCAUAAGUGAUUAUGCGGUAUGAGAGGGGCCUACUGACCAUUAGCUAGUUGGUGAGGUAAGGGCUCACCAAGGCGAAGAUGGUUAGGGGUUUUGAGAGAGAGACCCCCCACAUUGGAACUGAGAGACGGUCCAGACUCCUACGGGAGGCAGCAGUAGGGAAUAUUGGGCAAUGGGCGAAAGCCUGACCCAGCCAUGCCGCGUGAAGGAAGACGGCCUUAUGGGUUGUAAACUUCUUUACUACGCGAAUAGAGGUUAGUACGAGAUACUAAUAGGAAGGUAGUGUAGUAAAAGCACCGGCUAACUCCGUG
rnacentral:rRNA from 1 species